rnacentral:rRNA from 1 species
AGCGUAGGCGGACAUUUAAGUCAGGGGUGAAAUCCCGGGGCUCAACCUCGGAAUUGCCUUUGAUACUGGGUGUCUUGAGUAUGAGAGAGGUGUGUGGAACUCCGAGUGUAGAGGUGAAAUUCGCAGAUAUUCGGAAGAACACCAGUGGCGAAGGCGACACACAGGCUCAUUACUGACGCUGAGGCUCGAAAGCGUGGGGAGCAAACA